CUCAUACCAGCUCAAUUUUAAUUUUAAAGUGACAAAUGUACAGGUGGAAUAAAAUUUUAAGCGACACCCUCCAAAUUCCUUUUAUAUGACAAGAAGGAGCUGAAUGUAAUUUUACACCAUUACCAACUAAACAGUAGUUCUUUAGCAAUAAUUAGGAAGUCACAGCACAAAAACGACACCCCAGAGUUGUGGUCCAUUUAUAAAUAGAUUUUCACCUAGGCUUCGUUGGAAGAAGUGAUUUUAUAUCUAUCCUCACCAAUGGUCAAAGUGGGCACAGAACAGUAGGAACUAAGUUGGCCCUGUUAAGCAGGCACAUGCAGCCAUGUCCGAUCCACGGAUGUGCUUUUAUUCUUUAAGAGGAUCAUCUAGAAUCCUCAGAAAUGUUAUCUUAGCAGCCCUGAGAUCAUGCCCUCAAUAACUCUGCCAAGGGAAGAGGGGAGAAACCACAGACCUAGAGAUGAGUCAGGAUGCCCACUUUGUGCCUUGGGGUUUGCUAGGGGGGCUAAGCUGCUAACUGGGCUGUGCCUUAUUGGUGACACUGAAUUAUGGCAAAGCCACUAGAAGCACAAAGUAUUGGUGCAAUCACUGACAUCUCAAAAGUAUAUCCUGAAAAUAGAAAUGAACAGAUUCCAUAUGCAGACUAGAGGUGAUUUAUACUUAAAACAUUUAAAUAUAAAUUAAGCUAUAACUUAAGUUACAACCAAAAGAAAAGCCAAAAAGACACUCAGCAAUUAAGAAUGCUGAACACAUACACAGGACAUCCCAAACACAAGGCCAUUAAAGCGAUGUCAUUUUCAUUGUGCCAACUUUACAUUCAUCAUGUGCUAGUCCGGUGGGGCCACGCUGCCCCGCACCACGUCAUGCCGUCUGGCACUGCACUCCAGCCUGGGGCCCGUCUUCGUCCUCCUCGUAGGCCUCCCUGUGCUGACGCCAGUUCUGCUCAUUGGGACAAAACUCCUUCAGCUCCACCUGAUCCAUGUCAUCUGUAAUCCUCACUUUCUGUCGAGGAGGGAGUAAAGCUUCCAGCUGAGGAAGCUUUUCCAGAGAAAGCCAGUGUUUUUCAGGAAAGAUUACCUGUAAAGGGUGAGGUGGGAAAGAAAGGUGGCUGUUUUUUCCCCUUCCAAUUAAGGCAUUUAAUAAUAUGUCCAUGACAAUGAAACAUAGUGAACUUACUAAAAACUGUAUGAUCAGAAUCCCUUUUUCCAGGGGUGCUUUGUAGAUGGGCAUUCCUUCAUCGCGCACGCAUCUCAGGUCCCCGUGCUUUAUCACCUCACCUGCCAGAGAAAGGGUCAAUUAGGAAGGAGGAAGGCAGAGGGGCCUGCAGAGGUCGUUCUCCCUCAUGGGAGAGCCUGCGGCAGGCCCUAGUGCCCCGUGGCAGUGGGCAAAGGAAACGUGGCAUCUGACUGGAAAGCUGGCCCCAAUCCCAGGUAUCCUUGUCAGGUACUGCCUGGGGAAGGGGCUCAGGCUGAGACUCUGGCCUGUGCUCUGGGCUCCAGCAGUGUGUCAAGAGGGCAGCAUGGUGCAGCUGCCAUCACAGGUAGGUUUAAAACAAGUGAACUAGAAGUCAUGACACCCAAGUCUGCCUAAAAUGGGGCCAACACCUGUCACCCUGCCUCUUUGUGGGGUGACAGGUAUCCCUACCACGAGGGGGACAGGAGUGCUCCCCACAGACAGGAAGAAGCCUCAAUAGAGUCCAACCAGUCCCCUGCCUGGCAUAAAAACUGGCUCUUGGCCACCUGCAGGUGACACCCAGGUUCCUUGGUAGGGAGCUCACUAGGUGGCUUGGCCACUGGCAGACUCCUUCAUGGUCACAAUGCACUUCCAUACAUGCUGCUGAGCUGGAGUCACCCUCCCGGCUGGCACCCGCUGGGUCUUACAGCUACGUGACUUUGGAAGGCAUCAGAGGAGUUCAGACCCCAAGAACUCUAAGGCGUUCUCCCAAGUCAGAAACUUCCCUCUAAGCAUGGAAAAGGAAAGGGACAAAAGGGUUUCUGAUAAAGCAUGCUCUUCAGCUCAGCGAUGAAAAUGGACAAAGACAGAAAGAAAUGUUCGGAAAAAAUGGGGGAGACGGUGGAGGGGAAUGGAAACACUAAUUUCUUCAGCAGUCCACUUCCAUACGGGACUAUGUAGAAAGUGAGCUGUCUCUUCAAGAGGAAAUCUUUAAAGAGGAGGUUUUAAAAAUAAAGUAAGCCAAUGACUAUCCUUGAGAUUCAUUCGCAGGCAGGGCUGUGGUUCAGACAUGGCCUUCAGAGCCUACUGACUGUGCAGGACAGCAACCCCUUAGCUAAACUGCUCCAGGCUGCUGGCUUUUUGUGUUCCUGUUUAUUCUUUUUUUUUGAAAUACAGUCAUGGCCAGGCACGGUGGCUCACGCCUGUAAUCCCAGCACUUUGGGAGGCCGAGGCGGGCGGAUCACGAGGUCAGGAGUUCGAGACCAGGUUGAUCAACAUAGUGAAACCCCGUCUCUACUAAAAAAAAAAAAAAAAAAAAAAAAUAGAAAAACUAGCCAGGAAUGGUGGUGUGUGCCUGUAAUCCCAGCUACUUGGGAGGCUGAGGCAGGAGAAUGGCGUGAACCCGGGAAGCAGAGUGUACAGUGAGCCAAGAUCACGCCAUUGCACUCCAGCCUGGGCGACAGAGCGAGACUCCGUCUCAAAAAAAAAAGAAAUACAGUCAUGCACAGCAUAGUGACCUUUCAGUCAACAACAUUUAUGAAGAUGGUUGCAAAGAUUACACCAAACUUUUACUGCACCUUUCCUAUGUUCAGAUACUCACAUACUCAGCAUCGUACUACAACUGCCCACAGUAUUCAGUACAGCAACCUGCUGUGCAGGUUUUAGCCCAGGAGCAACAGGCUAUGCCACACAGCCUAGGGUGUAGCAGGCUAUGCUAUCUAGGUCUGUGUGAGUACAUUCUAUGGUGUUCACACCACAACGACAUCGCCAAACAAUGCAUCUCUCAGAACAUAUCCCCUUCGUUAAGUUACAUAUGACUGGUUUUUCUGUCUCCCCAUUCCUAUCAGGUGUCGCUUCUUGCUGCUCUCAAGCCCUACUCCCCAUGCUUCUGCUUCUAGCUUGCUGGGAGCUGGGAAACUGACCAAGCAUGGAAAACUACAGGUAAGAGAAGAAGACCACGAGUUAGGCUCUCCCGGCAGGUAAAUACCUGCCUGCAGGCAGGGCCAUCACACCCUUGUGUGGCUCCAAAAUCACUUUUUUAAUUAAUCCAAUCCUCAGCAAUGCUCAUAACAGGCUAAAAGGCUCUGGGGAAGAAGGCAUUUCAACAGCAGAAAAGAGGAAGAAGAGGGAGAAGAGAAAAUGGAGAAACAAGAAAUAAGCCAACACAAAAGAGGGGUGAAGAAAAGAGAGGGUGCAAAAGAGAACAAAGUAAAAACAAAAACAAAACAAAAAGGACAAACAAAUCCCCAAAGAACUCUCCAACGGCAGGUUUCCUGGAUGCUCCACCCUUCCUUAUAAUAAAGAAGGAAAUGGA
rnacentral:lncRNA from 1 species